ACUGGCAAACAGAUUUCUAUGCAAAGAGUGUUACAAAAGAUUAAAGAUGGAAGCUAAGCAGGGUCAGGCCUGGUUAGUGCUUGGAUGGGAGACCACCUAGGAAGACCAGGUACUGUAGGCA
rnacentral:rRNA from 1 species